CCCCCCCCCCCCCCCCACCGGAACCCCGAGCAGGUGAGACUGGCCGCCCUUGAUGGUGAUGGGUCCCAGGCACGGCCCACCACAAAGGCUGCGGAGGAAGCUCUGUCGUUCCCCAAGGGACUAGGUGGGCGUGUCUGGAGGGGCCCAGAGCCCGGAGGACACAUGGGCUGAGGGGGUGGGGUGCGGCUGGCUCCCGGAGGGGGUCCUGCUAUGUCUGGCCUUGGAACAUGAGGGUCUUGUCUGCCACCGUCCGGCCUUUCUGGGCUGUCCGGGUGUCCAGUCAACGCAGCUUGGCUCCCAGGAGGGACCAGCGCUCCUCUCAGCGGAGGCUGCGGGGCCCCCUUGUCCGCUCGGCGGGGCAGCAAGAAGAGAGGGCGGGCUUCCUUUGCUCCGCUGGCUCCCUGUCCUCAGAGCGACGCCCGGCGGGCACGUCUGCAGAGCUAGCUGCGGGCGGUCAGCCAGGGCUGGGGUGGUGCUGAGGCUGUCUGCCAGCCUCUGCCCUCCCCUUCCCUCUUCUCUUUCCAUCCCAGGUUUCAGGGAGUUACUUUCACCCGUUCCCACCUCUCUGAGGGGUGGGCGGGUGCAGGACGGCUCUGCGUGGUUUUCAGGUGUUUUCAUCUGGAUGCACAUCGGUGGGCGUUCCGCAGGCAGAUCAACUGAUGAAGCUUUUCAUCAUAACGAUAAUGUCGGCAACCGCAAACUACUGGAGUCUGCGAAGUGCUGUGCACAUUACCCUGGAGGCCUGGCAGCAGGGUUGGGGGCUGUCAGCUGUUUCACAGGAGUGCAGCAGGGAACCGGCCUUCUCUGCUCCAAUGAGGAGAUGGACACUGCGUCCUGACCAUCACUGCUGCCGGGAGCGAGAGACGGAAGCAAAAGGGGCAGCUGAAACCCACCUGCGCACUCACCCUCCACGUGGAAGGCGGCCGGGGCGACGCCCCAAGGCACCCAGAUUCGAAACUCGCCCGUCGCAGCCGGGAGGCGGGAUUCCUGAAGUGGCUGGCUCCCCGCAUCUCUGCGGAGGCCUCCUGGGUGGGAGCGGGCCCUCCUCCUGGCUCCUUGCCUGGGCUGACACGAGCUGGUCCGUCCAGGGACCCCACGCGGGGCCCUGCUCCAUAGGCAGCAUCAACACCCCCGUGACCCUUUAGGAUCACACCGACCCAGUGUCCCACACUCACCCUGACUG
rnacentral:lncRNA from 1 species